rnacentral:misc_RNA from 1 species
GAAUGAACUCGGUGUGGUUAUCGCUGGCCCUCUCGGGGGCAUGUGCACACCCACCAUCCUCAUCUCUCCGCCUGUGCACCUCUUGUAGACUUGGAUUGACUUUCCGAGGCAACUCGGUCGGGAGGACUUGCUGGCAUUAGCUGGCUUUCCAGGUCUACGUUUUUCAUAUACCCCAUUGUAUGUAACAGAAUGUCUCAUUGGGCCUUGUUCCUAUAAACCUUAUACAACUUUCAGCAACGGAUCUCUUGGCUCU